rfam:Myotis davidii contig260072, whole genome shotgun sequence.
GGCUGUUGUAAAUAAUGCUGCAAUGGCCAUGUGCAUUCCCCUGAAGUUGUGUGCUUGGUCAAAGAGAACAGCCUUACCUGAAAGGAUAAGACCAUUCUUGGGUCAAGGCUAUAGGAGUAGCUGCAAACUCCAAACAAGCUCUCCAGAGUGGCAGAUUUUAAGCAAAGUACCAGAAUGUAUAUUUCAAGGAGUUAUGCCUCCUUCAAAA